CUUCACCAAUACGCGCGCGUUUUGAUAGCGCCAAAAUAUUCUCGCAGACGGCAGUCUCGUCGUCACUCUCUUCUCUGCAACGCGGACGAGAAAUUAUCCGGUCCGGUUGAGCACCAUGGCAAAACCUGCGUCUUCGGACGCCACGAGAGGAUCGUCGACGGUCUGUGAUCAAAGCCUACUCCUUGCCUCUGAUUCUCUUCGUUGCCGCCAUGUUCUUCCAGCUCUUCGUUGUUCCCAAAUCCUUUCCUCCCUCUCACUACGACAUUCUUGGUAGAAGGAGCUAUAGCUCCAUUGAAGAAGUGAAAAGAGGCGUACGACAAUAUUUCUUCAGUCUGGAGUUCAGACGGGCAGGCUUUGGAUACUUCCUAUUUUAUCAAGGUCAGCGAAUUCUGUGGUUUCUCCGUGGGACGGAGUUUUAUUGUUCCACGUAGAUGGAAAACUUAAUGUAGCCUGAUUUAUCAAAUAUGCGAUCAGAUGAUAACAUUAUACGGCUUUACCAAAGAAAUGAGAGGAAAUAGAUUGAAUUGGGCAGUUUUUAUUACCAACAUUUUGAAUACAUUAGGCGAAAAUGGUCGUUGUGUAUAUAGAAUACAAUUAUAAGGAACUGAUGGCACGGAAAAGCACAUUUUGUUUUCUUUUCAAAGCAUGUGUUUUUUGUUCACUAUUUUCGAAUAUAAGUAGUAUGAUAACUUGUGUGUCAAUGCUUUUAGAAUGUGUAACUUUCAUAGUCAGUAUUUCGUUGAUACUAUUGAUCUAAGUAUGGCGUUGGGAUGUAAGUGCUUAUUGAGUAUGCUUAUGAGUUGCUGACAAAUCCUGUGUGGAAAAAGAAACUAUGACAUAUUUGGCAUCGAUGAGCAAAUAGAUAUAGUUCAGAAGGUCACAGUGCGAUAUAAAGGAGAAGCUUUUCGAAGAUAGACCUUCCUUUGCUAGAGUCUGUUGCUUCUGAAACUGAAGACCAUGAUGGUACAGUCAUGACCUCCAAGGAUUUUCAGACUAUGUUCGAGGGUAACAAACCAAGGCUGAUUCAGUUGUGUUCAUUUGGAAGAAAAAGCUGCGAUCAAUUUUCCGAUGUGUGGAAGUAAAUUGGUACGUUUUCAGUUUGGAGAACCUGGUUUAAGAUUCUUUACCUGUAUUUGAAAUGGUUUCUUGAAGGGUGAAUUCAUGUUUAGUGGCCAAUCCAUGCACUCAACAGAGUGGAGACCUUCUUUUAUCAAUUGAUUAGUUGGUUUUGUCUACUUAAGUUCCUUAACCAUUCAGUUUGACUGGGAAAAUUGUUCCCUGCAUUAUAAUAGUCACAAGUUUACAACCCAUUUUUUCCCUUCUUUUUUAUGUUUCCCUCUUUAGAUUCCAAUAUUUGACUCAGAUAUUAUUUUUAUGUAUGAUAAUUUUUGUUUGAGAAUAUGAUCUUUUUGUUUUGUUACCCUCUAGCUGCUUAUUUGGAUGGUGUGGCAAAUACUGGUAUGUUGGAACUUGGAGAGCUUCAGCUAGCUACACAUUUUGCUGAGAGAAAACCAACUGGGCAACCUUUCUUCAGGAAUGGUAAGUGGUUUGAUAAAUGAUCAAUAUUGCAUGCUGUUAUUUGCCAAAGUUUCCGUUCUUACUUAAUUGGAGGUCUUGGAAUUUGUGAAUUUUAACUGAAACUGCUCGAAAAUAUGCAUAUUUUGAUAAACAAAUGGCUGGUGAUAGAUGAAAUUAGGGGCAUGGUAGGUUUUAGAAAUAAGAUCUUGAAACUCAAGGGAUAUUCAUUACAUAUAAUACUGCAUGUUUUAUUCCUGGGCAUUGCAUCUGUUGUGCCAAAUGGUGCCAGGAUUAUGGGGCUGCAGAAAUACUAAGCAAUCGUAAAUUUGACUAUGAGUUCUUUGGGCGGAAACUCUCUCUUGAUGAAGUCGAGACAAGGUCAGCUGAUGAAGAGCAAUCUAUAGCACCAGCAGCAGGUGCCCUUAAAAGCAAACGACUGACAUUUGCUUGGCUUGACGGAGAAGCCCAAAAGGCAAACCUUCAUGUGUUGU